UACGAAGGGGGCUAGCGUUGUUCGGAAUUACUGGGCGUAAAGCGCGCGCAGGCGGUCUUCCAAGUCAGUGGUGAAAGCCCGGAGCUCAACUCCGGAACUGCCAUUGAAACUGUUAGGCUUGAGGAUGAGAGAGGUGAGUGGAAUUCCCAGUGUAGAGGUGAAAUUCGUAGAUAUUGGGAAGAACACCGGUGGCGAAGACGGCUCACUGGCUCAUUACUGACGCUCAGGCGCGAUAGCGUGGGGAUCAAACAGG
rnacentral:rRNA from 1 species